CUGAGUACGGCGGAACACGUGAAAUUCCGUCGGAAUCCGGGAGGACCAUCUCCCAAGGCUAAAUACUCCCUAGUGACCGAUAGUGAACCAGUACCGUGAGGGAAAGGUGAAAAGCACCCCGGAAGGGGAGUGAAACAGUUCCUGAAACCGUGUGCCUACAAGUAGUUAGAGCCCGUUAAUGGGUGAUAGCGUGCCUUUUGUAGAAUGAACCGGCGAGUUACGAUUUGUUGCAAGGUUAAGCGGAAAAAGCGGAGCCGUAGCGAAAGCGAGUCUGAAUAGGGCGCAUAAGUAACAGGUCGUAGACCCGAAACCAGGUGAUCUACCCAUGUCCAGGAUGAAGGUAAGGUAAUACUUACUGGAGGUCCGAACCCACGCACGUUGAAAAGUGCGGGGAUGAGGUGUGGGUAGCGGAGAAAUUCCAAUCGAACUUGGAGAUAGCUGGUUCUCUCCGAAAUAGCUUUAGGGCUAGCCUCGAGGUAAAGAGUCAUGGAGGUAGAGCACUGUUUGGACUAGGGGCCCUUCUCGGGUUACCGAAUUCAGAUAAACUCCGAAUGCCAUGUACUUAUACUCGGGAGUCAGACUGCGAGUGAUAAGAUCCGUAGUCGAAAGGGAAACAGCCCAGACCACCAGUUAAGGUCCCCAAAUAUAUGUUAAGUGGAAAAGGAUGUGGGGUUGCUUAGACAACCAGGAUGUUGGCUUAGAAGCAGCCACCAUUGAAAGAGUGCGUAAUAGCUCACUGGUCGAGUGACCCCGCGCCGAAAAUGUACCGGGGCUAAACAUAUUACCGAAACUGUGGAUGAACCUCUUUAGAGGUUCGUGGUAGGAGAGCGUUCUAAGGGCGGUGAAGUCAGACCGGAAGGACUGGUGGAGCGCUUAGAAGUGAGAAUGCCGGUAUGAGUAGCGAAAGAAGGGUGAGAAUCCCUUCCACCGAAUAUCUAAGGUUUCCUGAGGAAGGCUCGUCCGCUCAGGGUUAGUCGGGACCUAAGCCGAGGCCGAUAGGCGUAGGCGAUGGACAACAGGUAGAGAUUCCUGUACCAGUGCUAAUUGUUUAACCGAUGGGGUGACACAGAAGGAUAGGGAAUCGCACGAAUGGAAAUGUGCGUCCAAGCAGUGAGUGUGAGAAGUAGGCAAAUCCGCUUCUCGCGAAGCAUGAGCUGUGAUGGGGAAGGAAAUUAAGUACGGAAGUUCCUGAUUUCACGCUGUCAAGAAAAGCCUCUAGGAAGAGUAGUACUGCCCGUACCGCAAACCGACACAGGUAGAUGAGGAGAGAAUCCUAAGGUGAGCGAGAGAACUCUCGUUAAGGAACUCGGCAAAAUGACCCCGUAACUUCGGGAGAAGGG
rnacentral:rRNA from 1 species